AGCGGCGAGUGAAGCGGCAAGAGCUCAGAUUUGAAAUCGUGCUUUGCGGCACGAGUUGUAGAUUGCAGGUUGGAGUCUGUGUGGAAGGCGGUGUCCAAGUCCCUUGGAACAGGGCGCCCAGGAGGGUGAGAGCCCCGUGGGAUGCCGGCGGAAGCAGUGAGGCCCUUCUGACGAGUCGAGUUGUUUGGGAAUGCAGCUCCAAGCGGGUGGUAAAUUCCAUCUAAGGCUAAAUACUGGCGAGAGACCGAUAGCGAACAAGUACUGUGAAGGAAAGAUGAAAAGCACUUUGAAAAGAGAGUGAAACAGCACGUGAAAUUGUUGAAAGGGAAGGGUAUUGCGCCCGACAUGGGGAUUGCGCACCGCUGCCUCUCGUGGGCGGCGCUCUGGGCUUUCCCUGGGCCAGCAUCGGUUCUUGCUGCAGGAGAAGGGGUUCUGGAACGUGGCUCUUCGGAGUGUUAUAGCCAGGGCCAGAUGCUGCGUGCGGGGACCGAGGACUGCGGCCGUGUA
rnacentral:rRNA from 1 species